AGCACCAGGCUAACUCUGUGCCAGCAGCCGCGGUAAUACAGAGGGUGCGAGCGUUAAUCGGAUUUACUGGGCGUAAAGCGUGCGCGGGCGGCUGAUUAAGUCGGAUGUGAAAUCCCUGAGCUUAACUUAGGAAUUGCGUUCGAUACUGGUCAGCUAGAGUAUGGGAGAGGAUGGUAGAAUUCCAGGUGUAGCGGUGAAAUGCGUAGAGAUCUGGAGGAAUACCGAUGGCGAAGGCAGACAUCUGGCCUAAUACUGACGCUGAGGUACGAAAGCAUGGGGAGCAAACAGGAUUAGAUACCCUGGUAGUCCAUGCCGUAAACGAUGUCUACUAGCCGUUGGGGCCUUUGAGGCUUUAGUGGCGCAGCUAACGCGAUAAGUAGAACGACUGGGGAGUACGGUCGCAAG
rnacentral:rRNA from 1 species